rnacentral:lncRNA from 1 species
GUCCCUGUAGUCCAGGUAGGCCAUUUGGGCCUCUGUCUCCCCGGGGCCCAAUAAAGCCUGGAGGACCUGGAUAUCCUUCCCGACCUGGAUCACCUCGUGUACCAUUUAGCCCUGGGAAUCCCACUGGGCCUGGAUCACCCGGGAAUCCUCUUGCACCUUUAGUACCUGUGGCUCCUGGCAGCCCUGGGUUGCCUUGAGAUCCCUUUGGUGGCCUCACGCAGCCUCCACCUGACCAUAUUGGAUCAGUUGCUUCUCCUCUAGAAAAAUCUUCAAUCACCUGCCCGCAGUCUAAUUGGCCAGGCUCUCCUGGUGGACCAGGCAGACCUGGAGGCCCAGGGUGUCCAUCUGUUCCACGGUCACCUGGAAGACCACGGUAUCCUUUUGGGCCAGGAUAUCCUUCACCUGGUAGGCCUAUUUCUCCUGGAAAGCCCUUUGGGCCUAAUUCUCCUGGAUAACCAGGAUCCCCGGGGAGACCUCUGAUACCAUCACCCGGAAGGCCAGGCAGUCCUGGUAAACCAUCUAAUCCAUCUCUGCCUGGGAAAC